rnacentral:lncRNA from 1 species
GCACAUUGUGCACAUGUACCCUAAAACUUAAAGUAUAAUAAUAAUAAAGAAAGAAAGAAAGAAUAUACUACUAGGGUGAUAUAAUUUGGCUGUGUCCCCACCCAAAUCUCAACUUGAACUCCCACAUGCUGUGGGAGGGACCCGGUGGGAGGUAAUUGAAUCAUUGGGGCAAGUCUUUCCCAUGAAAAAUCUCACAAGAUCUGAUGUUUUUGAAAAGAGGAGUUCCCCUGCACGAGUUAUCUUUCUUUGCCUGCUGCCAUCCAUGUAAGAUGUGACUUGUUCCUCUUUGCCUUCUGCCAUGAUUGCGAGGCUUCCCCAGCCACAUGGAACUGUAAGUCCAAUUAAGCCUCUCUUUCACAAAUUGCCCGGUCUUGGAUAUAUCUUUGUUAGCUGUGUGAAAAUGGACUAAUACAUAGGGUAAGAGUAUUGGAUCAAGAAAUACAUUUAGUUAAUAUUUUGAGACAAGUUGCCAAAAUACCUACUGGGAAGAUUGUAUUAAUUUACCUUUCUACUAACAAAUAUUGGUCACCAUUAUUUGAAUAUUAGCAACAAUAAGUAUCUUCUCCUGUGUGUUGGUUAAUUGAUUUAAUUUUAGAAGUGCCCUAUUCUCAUCCUUCACCCAUGUUUAUCAUAUUUUUGAUUUCAUAAUUUAUUUGUGAAAACCCUUUAUAAUUUAAAUUUUUUUCUUUGAUAUAUGUAUCUAUGCUGCAAUUGUUUUUCUACUUUCGAUUUGUAUUUUAGUUUUAUUCAUUGUAUUUAUUGUGCCAAUCCAAGACAUUUGAUUUUAGAUAGUCAAAUAUAUCAGUGUUCCACGAUAUUGUUUCUGGUUUCACUUUUAAGUUUUUACUGUCCAUUGAUACAAACUUGUUUACCAAUGCUUUCUUCUGAUAUUUUAAUAGUAUUAAUCUCAUUUUUAUGAAUGUGAAAUAAUUUUUAACUGAGCAGUGAAAUGGUAACCUAGCUUCUAUUUUUAAAAUAACUAGCCCAUUGCCUUAAUUGCAGUUAUUUAAUAAUUAAUCAUAUCUAUACAAAUUUUAUAUAUACAUUUAUUGUAUAUAAGAUAUCUGUGAAUACUUAUGAUUUCUGAGCUCUCUAUUCUGUUCACUUACUAUGCAUCAUGAGUGGUCCAAGUAAUUCUCACUAUUAGCAAAAGAAGUGGUCCCCUGUGUAUGAGGAACAAUUAAAGCAUGUUAUACAGUGUAUAUUUAAUUACACAAUUAAAGUCUAUUCUAUUGCUAGAGGGUGAUAGUAGUUCAAAGCAAGCAAAGACACUCAUACCAUCUUCUCAUUUUAGUCCUGGUAGUGGAAUUCCUUAAUAUUAGGGGUCUUUGCUUAGGAGUUUAGUAGUGGAGACCUGGUUGAACUAGAUCUCCAACAUGGGGCUUCAUGGGGAAAGUCAGAGAGUUAAAUGAUGUAUUUUAUGCAUCUCACUUACAUUCUUGAAACAAGUUUAUUACUUGAAUUUCCCACUCCAAUUUGAAAAAGCAGGGCUCUGUUUUUCCAAGUUGCAUAUUCCCCAAGACUGCUAUAAUAUAACUGGGAAUGGUCCUUAUUUCUCCACAUUUUAAAAGCAUUUCUUAUUACAUCAAAAUAUCACAAAGCUUAAGAUUUGUGUGUUUUGGGUAUAUCAAUUUUAGUAAUUUCUUCUACUGGUACAUACACAUAAUUGACAUUUGUUUUCUUCAUAUUAGAACAAAAUAAUCUCAAAGAGAACUUUUUUAGACCUUUCUCAUAUACUCUUUUGCAUAUUUCUACUUAGACCUACACAAUUUAAUUAUAGAAGUGUUACUGAUGUUUUUGAGGACUCAUAUUGUAACUCAUUUAUUUUCCCAGAAUUCAAAAAUAUAUUCUUCCAAGAAAAACAAAGCCCUGUCUAUACUCGAUGCAGAUCUCAAAUUAACAGCCCAUUAUUAUGGAAGUUCUUUAUUGAUCGCCAAAAUGGGUUAGGUAUACCUGUUAGACAUAAAUUCUGGCCAGAAUUCUAUGCUUUAAUUAAAUAGUGUCAAGGGAUUGAUCGCAGCAUAUUGAUCCAUAACUGAACAUUUUAUCCAUGAAGUCACAGGUCCAGUGAGUCAUCAUUGCCUAGAAUACCCUACUUCAAACAAUGAAACUCACUUUCAAUCUAUCAUCAUCUUUCACUCUUCAGUGAAACCCCAUGUAGCUUCCAGAUGUGGUUUCAGGAUUUCUCUAUAUUGUUGGAGAGCAUUUAGGGCUCAAGAGAAAUCAUUGCUGCUUUAGCGCCUGGAGAAGAGCUACAGCUCAGGUGUUCAAUAGAAGAGAUGCACACAGGCAUCUAUGUUGUCAGCAAGCUAGCACUAUCAAAGCAUCUGGAGACAACAAUAGGAGUCAAGGAUACCAUCUCUAGCACAGAUCCCCGAACAAGAACCUGAGACCUGCCGAACAGCAGGUGCCAAAGAUGCUGCUGUAACACCACAGCCCUCCCAUCUUCCAUCCUCCACUGGCGCUGAGUGGCAGUCCCAUGUGACAGGAAGUGGAGGCAGAGCUGGGCCAGCCCAGGAGCCACGUGCUGGAGCCAGAUACUCUGUUUUUCUACAAAUGGAAAGUUUGUGGCAUCCUUGACUCAAGCAAAUUUUUCAGCACCAUUUUUCAAGAGCGUGUGCUCACUUCACCUCUCUGUAUCGUGUUUUGAUGCUUGUCCUGGAAACCAACCAUGAGCUGUGAUGAAAUCCAGGCAACUGAGUUGUGUUUCAGCCCAAAGCAGCAAAUGGAAUCCAGCUUCAGGACCAUCAUCUGACAUAGGGGAAGAAGACUUACAUAGAAGGCCUAACCAGCACCCAAGAUCAUGGCUGGUGUCAGAGAAGGCUGAAUUGGGUACCAAGACAUUCCUUCUCUCCAGGUGGUAACAAGGACCCUCACAUGGUAUUAAUGAAGACCAAAUGAUUUGCUGCUUGUUGAACCUCUCAAAUACUGAAGGGAAGUUUCCUGGCGGUCUCUCGUCAUAUGCUGUUUACUAAAGGAAUAGUUUCCGAUCUGCUGUAAGAAGUACUAUGCUGUCCAUUUGUUCCAGGACCUUAUCCUCUGCAGGUUUAAUGCGCGUCCGUGUGAAGAGACCUGUCAAUAGUGGGGCCACUGCCAAACAAGAUUU